rnacentral:rRNA from 1 species
GGGAAACGAGCCCUUAUCAUGCAGUCGAGCGCAUCCUUCGGGAUGAGCGGCGGCGGGUGAGUAACGCGUGGGAAUGUGCCCUUCUCUACGGAAUAGCCACUGGAAACGGUGAGUAAUACCGUAUACGCCCUCAGGGGGAAAGAUUUAUCGGAGAAGGAUCAGCCCGCGUUAGAUUAGGUAGUUGGUGGGGUAACGGCCUACCAAGCCUACGAUCUAUAGCUGGUUUUAGAGGAUGAUCAGCCACACUGGGACUGAGACACGGCCCAGACUCCUACGGGAGGCAGCAGUAGGGAAUCUUGGACAAUGGGGGCAACCCUGAUCCAGCCAUGCCGCGUGAGUGAAGAAGGCCCUAGGGUCGUAAAGCUCUUUCGCCUGUGAUGAUAAUGACAGUAACAGGUAAAGAAACCCCGGCUAACUCCGUGCCAGCAGCCGCGGUAAUACGGAGGGGGUUAGCGUUGUUCGGAAUUACUGGGCGUAAAGCGCGCGUAGGCGGAUUGGAAAGUUGGGGGUGAAAUCCCGGGGCUCAACCCCGGAACUGCCUUCAAAACUCCCAGUCUAGAGUUCGAGAGAGGUGAGUGGAAUUCCGAGUGUAGAGGUGAAAUUCGUAGAUAUUCGGAAGAACACCAGUGGCGAAGGCGGCUCACUGGCUCGAUACUGACGCUGAGGUGCGAAAGUGUGGGGAGCAAACAGGAUUAGAUACCCUGGUAGUCCACACCGUAAACGAUGAAUGCCAGUCGUCGGAUAGUAUACUAUUCGGUGACACACCUAACGGAUUAAGCAUUCCGCCUGGGAGUACGGUCGCAAGAUUA